rnacentral:rRNA from 1 species
UACGUAGGGGGCAAGCGUUGUCCGGAAUUAUUGGGCGUAAAGCGUGUGUAGGCGGUCCGGUAAGUCGGCUGUGAAAGUCCAGGGCUCAACCCUGGGAUGCCGGUCGAUACUGCCGGACUAGAGUUCGGAAGAGGCGAGUGGAAUUCCCGGUGUAGCGGUGAAAUGCGCAGAUAUCGAGGAGGAACACCAAUUGCGAAGGCAGCUCGCUGGGACGUUACUGACG